rnacentral:misc_RNA from 1 species
GAUGAAGAACGCAGCGAAAUGCGAUAAGUAAUGCGAAUUGCAGAAUUCAGUGAGUCAUCGAAACUUUGAACGCACAUUGCGCCCUGUGGUAUUCCGCAGGGCAUGCCUGUUCGAGCGUCAUUUCAACCCUCAAGCUCUGCUUGGUGUUGGGCCCUGCCCGCUGCGGCCGGCCCUAAAGACAGUGGCGGUGCCGCCUGGCCCUGAGCGUAGUACAUCUCUCGCUCCAGUGCCCGGUGGUAGCCUGCCAGAACCCCAACUCUCGUGGUUGACCUCGGAUCAGGUAGGGAUACCCGCUGAACUUAAGCAUAUCAAUAAGCGGAGGA